CUUCUGUCAGGUCCAUCAGAUACACUGUGAAAUAGAGAUGGUAUAUAAAAAAAACGGCCAAUCUACAAUCUUCGGAAGCCUCUAUCAGUGAAUGUUACCCAGUCUCAAAAUCGGUGAUCAAAAUCAACUACAGUGAACAGUGUGUAAAGAGUUCAGCUUUCUAGAAUCAUAUCGUCGACGAACAGCCAGGAACGAUCUGAUAUUGGACCCAAAUGUAGCGGAAGCCUUCCACAACUCCACAAGGUUUACCCAGUAUAAAUAGAUUCGGUGUAUUUCAAAUAUUUAACGUUGCAUAUGCCUCAGUUCAUCAUGCCUUCUUACUGAUUCUAACUAAGCCUCAGAAGCAAUGAACAAUUGAAUAUAGGAAUAUCAUUCUCUCACGCCAGACCGGUUGAAUUUAUUUGAAUGAGUUGUUGAUAGGCAUAGUUUGGCUCAAUCACAACUGAUGAUUCAAUAUGGUCUGAGGGUGUUGCAGCUACUAGCCGAGGAUUAAAGCAGAACGUGGACUUGAAGGUGAUUCUUUCCGAUGCAAAUGUUCCAGGUGAAGGGGAGCAGAAGGUUAUGUCAUACAUUUGUCUUCAAAGAAAUCCCUUGGCUAGCUGAGAGCUUGGAGCUGGUGAGAAGGAAAUCAAUUGUGGUUCGAUAAAUAGGGAAAGCAUUUCUCAGCUGCCAAAAGAACCACUUUGGAGAAACUGGAAGCUAAUAUCAAGACCAGAAGCUAACUUAUAUCCAGCAAAAAGAUGUGCAACAUGAAGCCUCAAAAGUCUUGCACAAAACAAGUCUCAAUGUGCUUUUUGAUUGGCUCAAUCUGUUCAGGCCAACUUCCAUCAAAGAGUUCUCAUACACCAAGUUUCAUUUCAACUGAUUGAUUGGGGUCAAGAAAUACCCAAGUGUACUUGACCUCAAAAGGUAGUUGGUAAGGUCAAGUACAGCUACUCCAAUUUCUCCACUGUAAUCAAUAAAUUCAAAUAAGUUUGCACAAAGAUUCUACCAAGUAAUGUUAUGAGAUCAACAAUAUUAUUGUC